rnacentral:rRNA from 1 species
UACCAGCACCCCGAGUUGUCGGGACGAUUAUUGGGCCUAAAGCAUCCGUAGCCGGUUCUACAAGUCCUCCGUUAAAUCCACCUGCUCAACAGAUGGGCUGCGGGGGAUACUAUAGGGCUAGGAGGCGGGAGAGGCAAACGGUACUCAGUGGGUAGGGGUAAAAUCCAUUGAUCUACUGAAGACCACCAGUGGCGAAGGCGGUUUGCCAGAACGCGCUCGACGGUGAGGGAUGAAAGCUGGGGGAGCAAAC